rnacentral:piRNA from 7 species
UCGCCUGCCACGCGGGAGGCCCGGG